AGUGAAUGUUGUGGAAUCGGAACAUAGCUGAUGAUGCUGUUGAUACGUGAUCUGAAAAAGAAUCCAGCUGCCGCUCCUGUGACAAUAUGGACUCUUCAGGGAAAACAGGCAUGAAACCGUAAGGGACCAAGCACAGGAGCAGGUCAUGGCACCAUGUGUUGUUAUACCCUUGCGGAUCACAAGGGAAGUGGCAUGACAUAGGCAGGAGAUGUGGCCACAUUCAAAUUAUUUCUCAGCAGUUUCCUUGGAAUUGCAUUGUGUAUCAUGGCUUAACAUAAUCGGAUGGGAAGCGUUUUCACUUAAUAUCUGAACAAGUAACACUGCAAAGACAAGAGGAUUUUAAUCAUCAAUAACCACGGUGCUUCCAGAUCUUUUCCAUCAGCUAGAGCAGUGUCUCAAGGAGGAGCCAUCGAAGCCAGUACAAACUAGGAAUGGGUCUGACCUGCAAGAUUCACCAUGGUCAUUCCCCAACAGGCCAGUCUUCAAUUGCUCUUCUCUGGGUGACCUGCAAGAUUCUGAGCCUCCACCAGCCUGGGAAGCAGAAUCCUUCGCCUGAGUUUGUUUCUGGUUCUCCCCCUGAGCACAACAGAGCACAAUUUAUUUCCAUGGAACGUCAUUGGUUCAACAGCAUCGCAGAGGUUUCAUAGCCAAUCGCACAUGGCAUGCACCGAGAUGCAGACCGCAGAGAAAAGAUCAUGAAGUGAUCUUGCCGGGAGAAUAAAUCUCAUUUUCUUUUAUGGACUUGAGACUGCUGUCCUUUGAGUUGGGUUUGAAUGUACUUCGGAAGUUUUAUUGAUUUAAAU